rnacentral:rRNA from 1 species
UAUGUGAUCGUCUCUCGCAUAUCAAUAAGCGGAGGAAAAGAAACUAACAAGGAUUCCCCUAGUAACGGCGAGUGAAGCGGGAAGAGCUCAAAUUUGAAAUCUUAAAGGGUUUCCCUUUACGAAUUGUAGUUUAAAGAAGUGUUUUCUGUUGAGGUUUUGGUAAAAGUUCUUUGGAAUAGGACAUCAUAGAGGGUGAGAAUCCCGUAUUUGACCUUUACUUUCAACUUUGUGAUACACUUUCAAAGAGUCGGAUUGGUUUGGGAAUGCAGUCCAAAAUGGGUGGUAAAUUUCAUCUAAAGCUAAAUAUUGGCGAGAGACCGAUAGCGAACAAGUACCGUGAGGGAAAGAUGAAAAGAACUUUGAAAAGAGAGUUAAACAGUACGUGAAAUUGUCAAAAGGGAAGCGUUUGACACCAGUGUUGUUUUUCUGAAAAUCAAUUAAAGAACUGUUUAUGCUAAGCUGUUUAGACUUUAUCAGCUAACUGUUUAGUUUUGAGCUUUUCUUUAAUGCACUUUUCAGUUAACAAGUCAACAUCAAUUUCUUUUGCUGUAAAAAAGCUUGAGGAAGGUGGCUUGAGAUUCGUCUUAAGUGUUUAUAGCCUCUUGCCUAUGCAGUCGGAGAGAUUGAGGUCUGCAGCGUAGAUCCUUCGGGGCUAAAUGCAUUUGUGCUAAGUUAUAGCAUUUUAUAGACAACUUGUUGACUAUGAUUUGUCUUGUAGCUUACUCGCUUAUGUUAUUUUACCUACGCUUAGGAUGUUGAUAUCGCGCUCUCACUG